GACGAACGCUGGCGGCGUGCUUAACACAUGCAAGUCGAACGGAAAGGCCCUGCUUUUGUGGGGUGCUCGAGUGGCGAACGGGUGAGUAACACGUGAGUAACCUGCCCUUGACUUUGGGAUAACUUCAGGAAACUGGGGCUAAUACCGGAUAGGAGCUCCUGCUGCAUGGUGGGGGUUGGAAAGUUUCGGCGGUUGGGGAUGGACUCGCGGCUUAGCAGCUUGUUGGUGGGGUAGUGGCUUACCAAGGCUUUGACGGGUAGCCGGCCUGAGAGGGUGACCGGCCACAUUGGGACUGAGAUACGGCCCAGACUCCUACGGGAGGCAGCAGUGGGGAAUAUUGCACAAUGGGCGGAAGCCUGAUGCAGCAACGCCGCGUGCGGGAUGACGGCCUUCGGGUUGUAAACCGAUUUCGCCUGUGACGAAGCGUGAGUGACGGUAAUGGGUAAAGAAGCACCGGCUAACUACGUG
rnacentral:rRNA from 1 species